GAUUAUAACACAAGCGAACAAAAGCAAGCAUGUAAGAAACAUGAACUUUACGUGAGUUUCCGAGACUUAGGAUGGCAGGAUUGGAUUAUUGCACCAGAGGGCUAUGCUGCGUUUUACUGCGACGGAGAGUGUUCUUUCCCCCUCAAUGCCCACAUGAACGCAACAAACCACGCCAUUGUUCAGACUCUGGUUCAUUUGAUGUUCCCCGAUCAUGUACCAAAGCCAUGCUGUGCACCAACAAAACUGAAUGCAAUCUCCGUGCUCUACUUUGAUGACAGUUCCAAUGUUAUUUUAAAAAAAUACAGGAAUAUGGUGGUGCGUUCAUGUGGCUGCCACUAGAAUAAAAAAAAAAUAAUCUAAUGCAGAGGGUUUUAUUUAGAAUUGUAAUAAAGUCAAGAUAUGAGCCUUGCUGAUGAAAAGGCAGUCCUAAAUUUAUUCCAUUUCACGUCAUCUCUCAUUUAAAUGUACAGUAUAAUGUAUAUAGUAGCUUUUAUUUAUUUAAAAGUAUAUAGUUUCUUUUGUAUGAGCAAAAUUUCAAAACCAUUUAUUUUAUGGGUCACCUUACUAUGCAGUAGAACUUCACAAACUAAUUUUUCAGUUGACCAUACUGGAAUCUAUUUCAUUCCAUUUCAAUAUUUUAAAGUAAAGCCUUUGUAUAGAUUUUUUUAAAGCUAGAAACUCCAGAACUUCUAUAACUGCUUCAUAUUGUUAAAGGAACUAAAAUACAUUUGGUCAUAUUGUGCCAAUGAAAACUGUGGUGGGGUAUUUAUUUAGAAAAAGGCACAGAAAAAAAACUAAACAAAACUGCUUG